UAGGGAAUAUUGCGCAAUGGAGGAAACUCUGACGCAGCGACGCCGCGUGAGUGAUGAAGGCCUUCGGGUCGUAAAGCUCUGUCGCAAGAGACUAAGAAAGUGAAUGUAUCUUGCAAGAAAGGAUCGGCUAACUUCGUGCCAGCAGCCGCGGUAAGACGAGGGAUCCUAGCGUUGUUCGGAAUCAUUGGGCGUAAAGCGGGUGCAGGUGGCUUUGUAAGUCAGGUGUGAAAUCCCAGGGCUUAACCCUGGAAGUGCAUUUGAUACUGCGAAGCUUGAGUGUAGGAGAGGUUACUAGAAUUCCUGGUGUAGUGGUGAAAUACGUAGAUAUCAGGAGGAAUACCGGAGGCGAAGGCGGGUAACUGGCCUAACACUGACACUCAGACCCGAAAGCGUGGGGAUC
rnacentral:rRNA from 1 species